ensembl:snoRNA SNORA75 Small nucleolar RNA SNORA75
UCCUUCUCAAUGAGCUCCUUCCUGCCAUAAAAUCAGUGGCAGUCUAUGGAUUCGCACGAGAAGAACAUUAAAAGCUCAGUGCUGGCUUAUUCACUUUCUGGUCUUGUCAGAUACCGUGAUUAGCUAUGGCUGGACACUU